GCCCGCCGUCCCCGGCGCGACCGGAGCGCCUGACGCUGGGGGGCCGUGUGGGCCCUGACUUCCGGAGGGCUGGGCCCUGGUCCUCCGCCACCGCGUGCGCCCCUUAAAGACCCCUGCCCGCCGCCCAGGACGGAUGGCGACCCCGGCCCUAGCCUGUCCCCAGACCCUGGACCAAGGCCCCGGCCCUGCCCCGAACCCCUCAUCCCACCCCCAGGACCCAGGCCCCGACCCUGGCCACCCAGGACACGCCCUGGCCCUUCCCCGAACUCCCACCCCACAGCUGGGAUCAAGGUCCCGGCCCUGCCCGGAACACCUCACCCCACACCCGGGACCCAGGCCCCGGCCCUGCCCCGAACUCCCACCCCACACCCGGGACCAAGGCCCCGGCCCUGCCCCGAACCCCUCACCCCACCCCCGGGACCAAGGCCCCGGCCCUGCCCAGAACUCCCACCCCACACCCGGGACCAAGGCCCCGGCCCUGCCCAGAACUCCCACCCCACACCCGGGACCAAGGCCCCGGCCCUGCCCCGAAGGCCCCACCGGGGACCCAGGCCCCGGCCCUGCCCCAAACUCCCACCCCACACCCGGGACCAAGGCCCCGGCCCUGCCCCGAACGCCCCACCCGGGACCCAGGCCCCGGCCCUGCCCCAAACUCCCACCCCACACCCGGGACCAAGGCCCCGGCACUGCCCCGAACGCCCCACCAGGGACCCAGGCCCCAGCCCUGUCCCGAACUCCCGCCCCACACCUGAGACGAAGGUCCCGGCCCCGAAGUCCCAACCCCACACCCGGGACCAAGGCCCCGGCACUGCCCCGAACCCCCGCCCCACACCCCUAACCAAGGCCUCGGCUCAGCCCCGGAAUCCCCAACCCCACACCUGGGAUCAAGGCCCCGGCCCUUCCCCAAACCCCCAACCCACACCCGGGACCAAAAGGCCCCGGCCCCACGUUUCCUAGAGGCGCUGGGUUCGGGCCCACGUUGCAACGAGUCAGAUGCUCUUGGUAGCUCAGGGAGGUGUUCACACUCCUGCCGUUUCCGUGAGGAUGGUGACGACUCCGAACUAUAGCAGCAUACUCUACCUACCCCUGAUCAGUUUAUGGAAGAAAAGGAAACCAAACAAAAUCUAGAUUUAUUACAAGAAGUCCAUGAUGGAGACAGCUCAGGAAUGGAAGAGACUCAAGCCCAAAGAUCAGAAGAACCUCUGUCCUGGAAGUCGGUUCUCUUUCCAAUGGAACAGCCUCUGCAAAGUGUACCACACGAUGAGUUAAUAUAUCUCACUUUUAGAAAGAAAGAUACUGAUAUGCCACUGAUGUGGUUUGGAUGUGCGUCCCUCCACCCCCACCCACAGUCCCAUGCUAGAAGUGUCACUCAUAUUCAGCUUUGAAUCAGUGGGGAACCCAUACAGGAAGAUCAUAAUAAAUAUGGAAAAUUCUGAUAA
rnacentral:lncRNA from 1 species